AAUGAACGCUGGCGGUAGGCCUAACACAUGCAAGUCGAACGGCAGCACAGUAAGAGCUUGCUCUUACGGGUGGCGAGUGGCGGACGGGUGAGGAAUACAUCGGAAUCUACUUUUUCUUGGGGGAUAACGUAGGGAAACUUACGCUAAUACCGCAUACGACCUACGGGUGAAAGCAGUGGAUCUUCGGACCUUUCGCGAUUGAAUGAGCCGAUGUCGGAUUAGCUAGUUGGCGGGGUAAAGUCCCACCAAGGCGACGAUCCGUAGCUGGUCUGAGAGGAUGAUCAGCCACACUGGAACUGAGACACGGUCCAGACUCCUACGGGAGGCAGCAGUGGGGAAUAUUGGACAAUGGGCGCAAGCCUGAUCCAGCCAUACCGCGUGGGUGAAGAAGGCCUUCGGGUUGUAAAGCCCUUUUGUUGGGAAAGAAAAGCAGCAGGUUAAUACCCCGCUGUUCUGACGGUACCCAAAGAAUAAGCACCGGCUAACUUCGUG
rnacentral:rRNA from 1 species